rnacentral:rRNA from 1 species
GACAGAGGGUGCAAACGUUGUUCGGAAUUACUGGGCGUAAAGAGCGUGUAGGCGGCUUUACAGGUCCGUUGUGAAAACUCGAGGCUCAACCUCGAGACGCCGGUGGAAACCGUAAAGCUAGAGUCCGGAAGAGGAGAGUGGAAUUCCUGGUGUAGCGGUGAAAUGCGUAGAUAUCAAGAGGAACACCAGUGGCGAAGGCGAGUCCCUGGACAACACCUGACACUGAGGCACGAAAGCUAGGGGAGCAAACGGG